UACAGAGGUCUCAAGCGUUGUUCGGAUUCAUUGGGCGUAAAGGGUGCGUAGGCGGCUCUUCAAGUCGAGUGUGAAAGCUCCAGGCUUAACCUGGGAAUUGCGCUCGAUACUGUUGAGCUAGAGUGUGGAAGGGGCUACUGGAAUUCCGUGUGUAGCGGUGAAAUGCGUAGAUAUACGGAGGAACACCUGCGGCGAAGACGGGUAGCUGGGCCAACACUGACGCUGAGACGCGAAAGCUAGGGGAGCAAACGGG
rnacentral:rRNA from 1 species